rnacentral:piRNA from 1 species
GCCAAUUUCAGGGCUUCUGUGUCCUUUUA